UACGUAGGGUGCGAGCGUUGUCCGGAAUUACUGGGCGUAAAGAGCUCGUAGGUGGUUUGUCGCGUUGUCCGUGAAAACUCACAACUCAAUUGUGGGCGUGCGGGCGAUACGGGCAGACUGGAGUACUGCAGGGGAGACUGGAAUUCCUGGUGUAGCGGUGGAAUGCGCAGAUAUCAGGAGGAACACCGGUGGCGAAGGCGGGGUCUCUGGGCCGAUACUGACGUGGAGGAGCGAAAGCGUGGGGAGCGAACAGG
rnacentral:rRNA from 1 species